rnacentral:rRNA from 1 species
CAGUAGCCGCGGUAAUACGUAGGUCCCGAGCGUUGUCCGGAUUUAUUGGGCGUAAAGGGAGCGCAGGCGGUUUAGUAAGUCUGAAGUUAAAGGCAUUGGCUCAACCAAUGUAUGCUUUGGAAACUGUUAGACUUGAGUGCAGAAGGGGAGAGUGGAAUUCCAUGUGUAGCGGUGAAAUGCGUAGAUAUAUGGAGGAACACCGGUGGCGAAAGCGGCUCUCUGGUCUGUCACUGACGCUGAGGCUCGAAAGCGUGGGUAGCGAACAGGAUUAGAUACCCCAGUAGUCCCUGUCUCUUAUACC